CGCUGCUCACUGCCAGUUUUGCAAACUCAAGCCCUCCUGCUUUAGGGGGAAGAGGCUGCUGCGUUGCUGUCGGCCCCGCCUGGCUUUUGUGAUUUGGAGAAAAAGAGGGAAAAUCACAUUAUUUUUGGUUAUUGUUCUCCGCGAUGUCAGCUUUUGAAACGCUGGGCUGCUGGCUCUGAUGAUCUCUGGCUUCUUCCCUGCAGGCUGUGUUCCCCCUAUUCUUAGCUGGGCCGUUGCUAUGGGUUACGGGAUCAAGGCCGGCUGGCUUCUUUACCUGACAAACAGCCCCCGGCGGAGCUCGGGAGCAUGGAGGGCGCCGGCAACACACAGACUCCCAGGGAGUGGGGGGAGGAGGGAGAAAGCGAGCUGCUGAGCAAGCGCCUUGCACACGCCCGGAGUCAGUGCGGACUUGCAGCUGCAGGAAAAAGUCCAGCCUGUGGGGUGGGGGGAAAGAGUGGAUCAAGGCCCUGAGGGAAACGUCGUUUCAUAGAGGCAAACUCCUGGAUCGCAUCAGCCACGGAGUAUUUAGUAUGUCCGGAUACACACGCCUCAAUCUCUUCUGGGCUUAGCUGGGUUUGUACGAAGAGGUGAAGUCUACUGUCUGAAAGCAGUAGUGGAUUUUGGAGGAUCCUAAAAAUAAAAAACAAACAGAAACCUGAACGGGCUUUUAACAUAAUUUUUUCAAUAUUGUAUUGCUUUUCAAUUACCUGUAAUUUAUGCUCAAAUGCAGUUGUCAGUGCCUUUUAUAUACUAAUGUGAUUGAGCAUAUGUUACCUUUAUUCAAUUAUUUGGAAUUUUAGGUGAGUAAAAACAUGAAGCUAAUAGUUAAGAACAUCUGGUAUAAGAAUAAUUCCAAGGGCAUUUUUUCCCAUUUAACCAUCUGUUACUACCAUGUGGAUCAAUUACUUUUUUUG